rnacentral:lncRNA from 1 species
UAGGUCCUAAACAUGCAAAGAUGAGGGAAGAGAAAUAAAACCACUUGGAGUUCCCUUCUUGAGAUCAUAAAGAUGAUCCAAGUUGCUCAUUUCCUUUGGAUUUAGCAAGCAAUAGGCAAUUAACUCAAACAAUCAAGCAAAUAUUCAAUCAAGCUCCUAGGAAUCUUCCAAUUGACUUUUGUCUCUCUUAUUUUUGGAUGCUCAUGAUAAUGGUCCUU